rnacentral:lncRNA from 1 species
AAUUUCCCCCUUCUUUUUCUCAUAUGAUCAUUAACCAAACUUACAAAAUAGAAAUUUCUCUUUCCAGCAUUUUUUUUUUUUUUCUGAUUAUCAUUAGUAACUAGUGUAACAGAGUCGUAUGCAAAAUAUGUAGAUAUUCCAACUAUUCUGAGACUGAGUUGCAUAUAUGUAAGCACGGUUCACUCUUUGAAAAUACAAAAACAUUCCAGUCCUCUUUCUCUAUAACCUAUGAGAUUUUUUUAAUGUUUUGAAUAUUCUUCGUAAUACUUUUGGGUUUUACAAUAAUGUAUUAUUAUCCUUAGUGAACAAGUUCAUAGCGACUUGGUUCACAAGCUAUUAGUUUUAGUAGUAAGUCUACAUUUUCUAGAAGCUUCUUUGACACGGCAAUAUUUUUACCCUUAUAGCAACUAAGGCUUAAACUAAAUUAACUACGUUCUUGAAUGGUAACUGCAGUAUCAACGAAAGCUGAAGGUAUUUGUAUACUUCAUUGGGUUGUACUUGUCACAAAUCAACAAGAAAUAUAUCAGAAAUAUAUUUAGUAAAAAAAGAAACAUUUUUUUUAAUAAAAAAACCAAGAAACAUUAAUUUUGGUAUUUGUUUAGAAUUCUUUAUAAUAUUAUUUAACAAAUUAAUUUUUUAUCGCGCU